rnacentral:rRNA from 1 species
GAUGAACGCUAGCGGCAGGCCUAACACAUGCAAGUCGAGGGAUAAGCCUUCGGGCUAAGACCGGCGCACGGGUGCGUAAGGGGUAUACAAUCUGCCAUUUAUCCGGGGGAUAGCCCGAAGAAAUUUGGAUUAAUACCCUUAGGUAUAAGAGCCCGGCAUCGUGCACUUAUUAAAGCUACGGCGGUAAAAGAUGAGUCUGCGUUUGAUCGGCUAGCUGGAUAGGUAACGGCUCGCCAAGGCGACGAUCGAUAGGGGUUCUGAGAGGGAGGUCCCCCACACUGGUACUGAGAUACGGACCAGACUGCUACGGGAGGCAGGAGUGAGGAAGACUGGAGGAUGGUCGGAAGACUGAUCCAGCCAUGCCGCGUGCAGGAUGACGGCGUUAGUGGUGGUAAACUGCUUGUGUAAGAGAAGAAUAAGGAGUACGUGUACUUUGAUGACGGUACCUGACGAAUAAGCACCGGCUAACUCCGUG